AUUGAACGCUGGCGGCGUGCCUAACACAUGCAAGUCGAGCGGCAGCGCGGGAGCAAUCCUGGCGGCGAGCGGCGGACGGGUGAGUAACGCUUGGGAAUCUGCCUGUUAGUGGGGGACAACCCGGGGAAACUCGGGCUAAUACCGCAUACGCACUACGGUGGAAAGCCGGGACCGCAAGGCCUGGCGCUAACAGAUGAGCCCAAGUCGGAUUAGCUAGUUGGUAGGGUAACGGCCUACCAAGGCGACGAUCCGUAACUGGUCUGAGAGGACGACCAGUCACACCGGAACUGAGACACAGUCCGGACUCCUACGGGAGGCAGCAGUGGGGAAUAUUGGACAAUGGGGGAAACCCUGAUCCAGCGACGCCGCGUGGGUGAAGAAGGCCUGCGGGUUGUAAAG
rnacentral:rRNA from 1 species